GAUGAACGCUGGCGGCGUGCCUAAUACAUGCCAGUCGAGCGAACGGACGAGAAGCUUGCUUUUCUGAUGUUAGCGGCGGACGGGUGAGUAACACGUGGAUAACCUACCUAUAAGACUGGGAUAACUUCGGGAAACCGGAGCUAAUACCGGAUAAUAUUUUGAACCGCAUGGUUCAAAAGUGAAAGACGGUCUUGCUGUCACUUAUAGAUGGAUCCGCGCUGCAUUAGCUAGUUGGUAAGGUAACGGCUUACCAAGGCAACGAUGCAUAGCCGACCUGAGAGGGUGAUCGGCCACACUGGAACUGAGACACGGUCCAGACUCCUACGGGAGGCAGCAGUAGGGAAUCUUCCGCAAUGGGCGAAAGCCUGACGGAGCAACGCCGCGUGAGUGAUGAAGGUCUUCGGAUCGUAAAACUCUGUUAUUAGGGAAGAACAUAUGUGUAAGUAACUGUGAACAUCUUGACGGUACCUAAUCAGAAAGCCACGGCUAACUACGUG
rnacentral:rRNA from 1 species